GGGAAGGUGGCUCAGUGGUAAAGCACUUGCCUGGCAUGCAUGAGGCCCUGGGUUCGAUUCCUCAGCUCCA
rnacentral:tRNA from 1 species